ACCACCCCACUCGCAACUUCCCACAACCCAGCCCCCGUGCGGCGGUGCCAAAGUCUCCGUCACAGGUCUGUCCAGGGUUGGGGGGAUAACCCCCCACCCCACCCCCAAAGUAGGGAAGGGAGCCCAGCCCUGGAAACGGAGGAGGCAUCAGGCACAGAGAUGGAAACCUGUGCACGAGAGUACACCUGUCAACGUUGAUCCUGCGCUGCUUCUCUGACGGCACGGAUCUGGUCGCUUCCAACCUCCCCCGCCUCCCCUGAAAGCUGUCAUUUCCCUCAGGUCAUAAAAAUCAGUGGCAGUGGCUCAGUAUUCAGUACUUAAGGCAACUUGAGAGAACAAAACUACCUUGCAUAAUAAGAAUCAAGUGUACCUUCUGCACUGAAUCGCUCAUGAUGUGUUGUUUUUGGUUAAAGCCCGUAUGAAGAAAACUCAACCUCAC